AACGAACGCUGGCGGCAGGCCUAACACAUGCAAGUCGAACGCUGCAGCAAUGCAGAGUGGCAGACGGGUGAGUAACGCGUGGGAACCUUCCCAAUGGUACGGAAUAGCCCAGGGAAACUUGGGGUAAUACCGUAUAAGCCCCAUGGGGGAAAGAUUUAUCGCCAUUGGAUGGGCCCGCGUCGGAUUAGCUGAGUUGGUGAGGUAACGGCUCACCAAGGCGACGAUCCGUAGCUGGUUUGAGAGAAUGACCAGCCACACUGGGACUGAGACACGGCCCAGAGUCUGAGGGGAGGCAGCGGGGGGGAAUCUGGGACAGUGGGCGAAGGCCUGACCCAGCCGGGCCGGGUGAGGGACGAGGGCUUUAGGGUUGUAAAGCUUUUUGGGCGGGGACGAAAAUGACGGUACCCGAAGAAUAAGCCCCGGCUAACUUCGUGCCAGCAGCCGCCGUAA
rnacentral:rRNA from 1 species